rnacentral:rRNA from 1 species
AUACGGAGGAUGCGAGCGUUAUCCGGAUUUAUUGGGUUUAAAGGGAGCGCAGGCGGGGAGCUAAGCGUGACGUGAAAUGUAGCCGCUCAACGGCUGAACUGCGUCGCGAACUGGUUUUCUUGAGUGAGUGCGACGUCAGCGGAAUUCGUGGUGUAGCGGUGAAAUGCUUAGAUAUCACGAAGAACCCCGAUUGCGAAGGCAGCUGACGAGCCCUUUACUGACGCUAAAGCUCGAAGGUGCGGGUAUCGAACAGGAUUAGAUACCCUGGUAGUCCGCACGGUAAACGAUGGAUGCCCGCUGUAUGCGAUAUAUUGUAUGCGGCCAAGCGAAAGCGUUAAGCAUCCCACCUGGGGAGUACGCCGGCAACGGUGAAACUCAAAUGAAUUGGCGGGG